GUGGGGAAUCUUGCGCAAUGGGCGAAAGCCUGACGCAGCAACGCCGCGUGCGGGAAGAAGGCUUUCGGGCUGUAAACCGCUUUCAGCAGGAACGAAAAUGACGGUACCUGCAGAAGAAGGAGCGGCCAACUAUGUGCCAGCAGCCGCGGUGAUACAUAGGCUUCAAGCGUUGUCCGGAUUUAUUGGGCGUAAAGAGUUCGUAGGCGGUCGAGUAAGUCGGGUGUGAAAACUCUGGGCUUAACCCGGAGACGCCAUCCGAUACUGCUCUGACUAGAGUUCAGGAGGGGAGUGGGGAAUUCCUAGUGUAGCGGUGAAAUGCGCAGAUAUUAGGAGGAACACCGGUGGCGAAGGCGCCACUCUGGACUGAAACUGACGCUGAGGAGCGAAAGCAUGGGUAGCAAACAGGAUUAGAAACCCGAGUAGUCC
rnacentral:rRNA from 1 species